rnacentral:misc_RNA from 1 species
UUUUUUUUCCUUUUUUUUUUUUAUAAAAUGUGUAGUAAAAUAUAAAAUGGACCCUUUGGUUGAGAACUAUGGCAUGAAAUAACGUGUGGAAUAAAUUGCUUUACCACAUUCUAAAUUACUCAUGGCAAUGUGGAAAGUUUUAUUAGUCAUGCAGAAUUAAACUUUGAGAAUGUGUUCACUAUGAUAUUUUAGCAUUCUAAUUACAAUUGGAAUAAGUAUCAGCAACGACCCAGAACUAAGUGCAAUCACCAUGCUCAGAACUAAGUACAAUCACCAUGCUCAGAAUUUUGAUAAAAAGUAUAUGGUUUAUGAUGUAAUACUGAAAGAAGUUUCAGUAAAUAACUUUAGCAAAAAGAGGUAAAUGAAAAAGUUAGUCCAUGGUUGGACUUAUGGCUAUCAAGAAUCAUGAUGUUAAGUGAUUGUGAUUAUGAAAAAGGAUGAUAUUGGUUACCUAAAGUUACGGGAUGCAAUGAUUAUAUGGAAAAGCCAUGUGUUAUGAGUAAGGACUAGAGCAGUUAGGAGGUUAGUCCAGUAGUUAAAUAGGAAGAUUCUAUUAUAUUAGUAUAUUGUAAUUACUCUCCAGUCAAUUGUAAUUGUAG